AUGAACGCUGGCGGCGUGCUUAAUACAUGCAAGUCGAACGAAGACAGUAGCAAUAUUGUCUGAGUGGCGAACGGGUGAGUAACGCGUUGGUGACCUGCCCCGAAGAGAGGGAUAACAGUCCGAAAGGAUUGCUAAUACCCCAUGUGGUCAUUUGGAUUAGAUGCCUUAUGACUAAACGGAUUUAUUCGCUUCGGGAGGGGCCUGCGUCCCAUCAGCUAGUUGGUAGGGUAAUGGCCUACCAAGGCUUUGACGGGUAGGGGACCUGAGAGGGUGGCCCCCCACAAUGGAACUGAAACACGGUCCAUACACCUACGGGUGGCAGCAGUAGGGAAUAUUAGUAAUGGGCGAAAGCCUGAACUAGCAACACCGCGUGUGCGAUGAAGGCCUUCGGGUUGUAAAGCACUUUUCGGGAGGAUGAGGAAGGACGGUACUCCCGGAAUAAGUCUCGGCUAACUACGU
rnacentral:rRNA from 1 species